rnacentral:rRNA from 1 species
AGAUUGAACGCUGGCGGCAUGCCUUACACAUGCAAGUCGAACGGCAGCACGGGAGCAAUCCUGGUGGCGAGUGGCGAACGGGUGAGUAAUACAUCGGAACGUGCCCAAUCGUGGGGGAUAACGCAGCGAAAGCUGUGCUAAUACCGCAUAAGAUCUACGGAUGAAAGCAGGGGAUCGCAAGACCUUGCGCGAAUGGAGCGGCCGAUGGCAGAUUAGGUAGUUGGCGAGGUAAAGGCUCACCAAGCCUUCGAUCUGUAGCUGGUCUGAGAGGACGACCAGCCACACUGGGACUGAGACACGGCCCAGACUCCUACGGGAGGCAGCAGUGGGGAAUUUGGACAAUGGGCGAAAGCCUGAUCCAGCCAUGCCGCGUGCAGGAUGAAGGCCUUCGGUUGUAAACUGCUUUGUACGGAACGAAAGUACUCUUUACUAAUAAAGAGGAUUCAUGACGUACGUAAGAAUAAGACACCGCUAACUACUACG